rnacentral:rRNA from 1 species
AACGAACGCUGGCGGCAUGCCUAACACAUGCAAGUCGAACGAGACCUUCGGGUCUAGUGGCGCACGGGUGCGUAACGCGUGGGAACCUGCCCUUAGGUUCGGAAUAACUCCCCGAAAGGGGUGCUAAUACCGGAUAAUGUCUUCGGACCAAAGAUUUAUCGCCUUUGGAUGGGCCCGCGUUGGAUUAGCUGGUUGGUAGGGUAAAAGCCUACCAACGCGACGAUCCAUAGCUGGUCUGAGAGGAUGAUCAGCCACACUGGGACUGAGACACGGCCCAGACUGCUACGGGAGGCAGCAGUGGGGAAUAUUGGACAAUGGGCGAAAGCCUGAUCCAGCAAUGCCGCGUGAGUGAUGAAGGCCUUAGGGUUGUAAAGCUCUUUUACCCGGGAUGAUAAUGACAGUACCGGGAGAAUAAGCUCCGGCUAACUCCGUG